rnacentral:misc_RNA from 1 species
GCAAACUUGGUCAUUUAGAGGAAGUAAAAGUCGUAACAAGGUUUCCGUAGGUGAACCUGCGGAAGGAUCAUUAAUAAAUUAAUUAUCCUAUUUAAAAAUAUGGAUAAUAAUAAUCCAUAUUCAUUCUUUGUGCAUUCAUUGAAUUAUGAGCUUUGAUAGAAAUAUAAAAGAAGAAAAGAAAUUUGUGGACUUUCUUUUUUUUGAUCUAUCAAAGGAUUUCAUUGAUCUUGAUAAUUUUUAGUAUUAAAAUUAAUUGAAGGAAAAAAAACCAAAAAAAUUUAUACAACUUUCAACAACGGAUCUCUUGGCUCUCGCAUCGAUGAAGAACGCAGC